AUUGAACGCUGGCGGCAGGCCUAACACAUGCAAGUCGAGCGAGCGGCGGACGGGUGAGUAAUGUAUGGGGAUCUGCCCGAUGGCGGGGGAUAACUACUGGAAACGGUAGCUAAUACCGCAUACUAUCAGAGGAACCCAUAUGGGAUUAGCUAGUAGGUGAGGUAAAGGCUCACCAAGGCAACGAUCCGUAGCUGGUUUGAGAGGACGACCAGCCACACUGGGACUGAGACACGGCCCAGAAUCCUACGGGAGGCAGCAGUGGGGAAUAUUGCACAAUGGGGGCAAGCCUGAUCCAGCCAUCCCGCGUGUAUGAUGAAGGCCUUCGGGUUGUAAAGUACUUUCAGCCGGGAGGCGUUAUCGGCAGAAUAAGCACCGGCUAACUACGUGCCAGCAGCCGCGGUAAUAC
rnacentral:rRNA from 1 species